rnacentral:rRNA from 1 species
AGGCAGACGGCUCAGUAACACGUAGUCAACCUACCCUAUGGACAAGAAUAAUCUCGGGAAACUGGGCAUAAUUCUUGAUAGAUCAUAAUGCCUGGAAUGGUUUAUGGUUAAAAUGAUUCGUCGCCAUAGGAUGGGACUGCGGCCUAUCAGCUUGUUGGUGAGGUAAUGGCCCACCAAGGCGAUUACAGGUACGGGCUCUGAGAGGAGAAGCCCGGAGAUGGGUACUGAGACACGGACCCAGGCCCUAUGGGGCGCAGCAGGCGAGAAAACUUUGCAAUGUGCGAAAGCACGACAAGGUUAAUCCGAGUGAUUUCUGCUAAAGAAAUCUUUUGCCAGUCAUAAAACCACUGGUGAAUAAGGGGUGGGCAAGUUCUGGUGUCAGCCGCCGCGGUAAAACCAGCACCUCAAGUGGUCAGGAUGAUUAUUGGGCCUAAAGCAUCCGUAGCCGGCUUUGUAAGUUUUCGGUUAAAUCCAUGUGCUCAACGCAUGGGCUGCCGAAAAUACUGCAUGGCUAGGGAGUGGGAGAGGUAGACGGUACUCAGUAGGAAGGGGUAAAAUCCUUUGAUCUAUUGAUGACCACCUGUGGCGAAGGCGGUCUACCAGAACACGUUCGACGGUGAGGGAUGAAAGCUGGGGGAGCAAACCGGAUUAGAUACCCGGGUAGUCCCAGCUGUAAACGAUGCAGACUCGAUGAUGCAUUGGCAUAAUAGCCAGUGCAGUGUCGCAGGGAAGCCGUUAAGUCUGCCGCCUGGGAAGUACGUACGCAAGUAUGAAACUUAAAGGAAUUGGCGGGGGAGCACCACAAGGGGUGAAGCCUGCGGUCAAU